rnacentral:lncRNA from 1 species
GAUGUCUACUCACCAUUUCUGUAGCGUACAGACUAGCUUCACUGCCCUAAAAAAAAAACGCUCUGUGCUUCAUCUAUUGUUCCUCUGUCCCAGCCUAAGCCCUGCAACUAUUGAUCCUUUCAUUGUCUUCACAGUUUUGCUUUUUCAAGAUUUCUUAGAGCAAGGAAGUCUUUUCAGACUGGCUUCUUUCACUUACAGUAUGUGGUACGGCUCCUCCAUGGCUUGAUAGCUCAUUUCUUUUAACUGCUGCAUAGUAUUCUAAUGUAUGAAUGUAUGACUGUGUAUACAUUCAGCUACUGAAGUACCUCUUUGCUACUUCCAGGUUUGGGCAGUUAUGAGUAAAGCUGUUAUAAACAUUUGAGUGUAGAUUUUUUGGUGGACAUAGAUUUUCAACUCAUUUGGACAAACAAAGCAGCAUGAUUGUUGGAAUAUAAGGACAUAUUCAGGAAGGAGACCUGCUUGCCAAUGAGAACCCAGAAAUCAGUCUCCAUCUGUCCCCGAGCUGUUGUGCAAUGAGAGGUUCAGACCCCUUGCUCUGGUUGGCCUGAAAGCUGUGUUCAAGUAUUUUUCUUGAGAACAGGACUUUUCUCACUCUCAUAUGUAGUUUGAGAUCCUGGGUCUGGGGGACACCUGGAAUCAAGCAGCCUUUCCACUAGUUCUUCACUUGGAUGGGAGCACUCUCCCUAGGUGUCUGCAUGGCCAGCUCCCCUACAUCCUUUUUCCUCUAAGCCUUUACUGAAAUUUCACCUUCUCAAUAGGCUACGCCAUUGCAACCCACCCCAUGCCCACCCCUCAGCAUUCUCAACCUCCUUUGCUCUAUUUUUCAUAGUUCUUAUCACUUUCUUUUUGUCUUUGUUUUUUCUGCAGUUUCAAUAUGAUAACGCCUAGUUAUAGCAUUAUUGUCUUUAUUGUCUGCCUCUUAGUAUUUCUAGAAUGUACACAUUCCAAGAGCAGAG